GAUGAACGCUGGCGGCGCGCCUAACACAUGCAAGUCGAACGAUUAAAGCACCUUCGGGUGUGUAUAAAGUGGCGAACGGCUGAGUAACACGUGGGCAACCUGCCCCUCUCAUUGGGAUAGCCACGGGAAACCGUGGAUAAUACCGAAUACUUCGGGACUUCCGCAUGGAAGACUCGAGAAAGCUCCGGCGGAGAGGGAUGGGCCCGCGGCCUGUUAGCUUGUUGGUGGGGUAAUGGCCUACCAAGGCAAUGAUGGGUAGCUGGGUUGAGAGACCGACCAGCCAGAUUGGGACUGAGACACGGCCCAGACUCCUACGGGAGGCAGCAGUGGGGAAUCUUGCACAAUGGGCGAAAGCCUGAUGCAGCGACGCCGCGUGCGGGAUGAAGGCCUUCGGGUUGUAACCGCUUUCAGCAGGGACGAGGCGAAAGUGACGGUACCUGCAGAAGAAGCCCCGGCUAACUACGUG
rnacentral:rRNA from 1 species